rnacentral:rRNA from 1 species
AGAGUUUGAUCAUGGCUCAGAUUGAACGCUGGCGGCAGGCCUAACACAUGCAAGUCGAGCGGUAGCACAGAGAGCUUGCUCUCGGGUGACGAGCGGCGGACGGGUGAGUAAUGUCUGGGAAACUGCCUGAUGGAGGGGGAUAACUACUGGAAACGGUAGCUAAUACCGCAUAAUGUCGCAAGACCAAAGUGGGGGACCUUCGGGCCUCAUGCCAUCAGAUGUGCCCAGAUGGGAUUAGCUAGUAGGUGGGGUAACGGCUCACCUAGGCGACGAUCCCUAGCUGGUCUGAGAGGAUGACCAGCCACACUGGAACUGAGACACGGUCCAGACUCCUACGGGAGGCAGCAGUGGGGAAUAUUGCACAAUGGGCGCAAGCCUGAUGCAGCCAUGCCGCGUGUGUGAAGAAGGCCUUCGGGUUGUAAAGCACUUUCAGCGGGGAGGAAGGCGNNNNCGAUUGACGUUACCCGCAGAAGAAGCACCGGCUAACUCCGUGCCAGCAGCCGCGGUAAUACGGAGGGUGCAAGCGUUAAUCGGAAUUACUGGGCGUAAAGCGCACGCAGGCGGUCUGUCAAGUCGGAUGUGAAAUCCCCGGGCUCAACCUGGGAACUGCAUUCGAAACUGGCAGGCUAGAGUCUUGUAGAGGGGGGUAGAAUUCCAGGUGUAGCGGUGAAAUGCGUAGAGAUCUGGAGGAAUACCGGUGGCGAAGGCGGCCCCCUGGACAAAGACUGACGCUCAGGUGCGAAAGCGUGGGGAGCAAACAGGAUUAGAUACCCUGGUAGUCCACGCCGUAAACGAUGUCGAUUUGGAGGUUGUGCCCUUGAGGCGUGGCUUCCGGAGCUAACGCGUUAAAUCGACCGCCUGGGGAGUACGGCCGCAAGGUUAAAACUCAAAUGAAUUGACGGGGGCCCGCACAAGCGGUGGAGCAUGUGGUUUAAUUCGAUGCAACGCGAAGAACCUUACCUGGUCUUGACAUCCACAGAACUUUCCAGAGAUGGAUUGGUGCCUUCGGGAACUGUGAGACAGGUGCUGCAUGGCUGUCGUCAGCUCGUGUUGUGAAAUGUUGGGUUAAGUCCCGCAACGAGCGCAACCCUUAUCCUUUGUUGCCAGCGGUCCGGCCGGGAACUCAAAGGAGACUGCCAGUGAUAAACUGGAGGAAGGUGGGGAUGACGUCAAGUCAUCAUGGCCCUUACGACCAGGGCUACACACGUGCUACAAUGGCAUAUACAAAGAGAAGCGACCUCGCGAGAGCAAGCGGACCUCAUAAAGUAUGUCGUAGUCCGGAUUGGAGUCUGCAACUCGACUCCAUGAAGUCGGAAUCGCUAGUAAUCGUAGAUCAGAAUGCUACGGUGAAUACGUUCCCGGGCCUUGUACACACCGCCCGUCACACCAUGGGAGUGGGUUGCAAAAGAAGUAGGUAGCUUAACCUUCGGGAGGGCGCUUACCACUUUGUGAUUCAUGACUGGGGUGAAGUCGUAACAAGGUAACCGUAGGGGAACCUGCGGUUGGAUCACCU